rnacentral:rRNA from 1 species
UACGUAGGGACCAAGCGUUGUUCGGAUUUACUGGGCGUAAAGGGCGCGUAGGCGGCCACCGCAAGUCAGUUGUGAAAUCUCUGGGCUUAACCCAGAAAGGUCAACUGAUACUGCGGGGCUAGAGUGCAGAAGGGGCAACUGGAAUUCUCGGUGUAGCGGUGAAAUGCGUAGAUAUCGAGAGGAACACCUGCGGCGAAGGCGGGUUGCUGGGCUGACACUGACGCUGAAGCGCGAAAGCUAGGGGAGCGAACGGG